GAUGAAGAACGCAGCGAAAUGCGAUACGUAAUGUGAAUUGCAAAUUCAGUGAAUCAUCGAAUCUUUGAACGCACAUUGCGCCCGCCAGUAUUCUGGCGGGCAUGCCUGUUCGAGCGUCAUUACAACCCUCAGGCCCCCGGGCCUGGCGUUGGGGAUCGGCGGAGCCCCCCGUGGGCACACGCCGUCCCCCAAAUGCAGUGGCGGUCCCGCCGCAGCUUCCAUCGCGUAGUAGCUAACACCUCGCGACUGGAGAGCGGCGCGGCCACGCCGUAAAACACCCAACUCUUCUGAAGUUGACCUCGAAUCAGGUAGGAAUACCCGCUGAACUUAAGCAUAUCAAUAAGCGGAGGA
rnacentral:misc_RNA from 1 species